rnacentral:rRNA from 1 species
GAUGAACGCUGGCGGCGUGCCUAACACAUGCAAGUCGAACGGAGUCCAGCCUUAGAGCCCUUCGGGUCAAAGAGGGGAAGACUGAGUGGCGGACGGGUGAGUAACACGUGGGCAACCUGGCUCAUAGAGGGGGAUAACAGAGAGAAAUUUCUGCUAAUACCGCAUAAGCACACACUGCCGCAUGGCAGAGUGUGAAAAGAGAAUCGCUAUGAGAUGGACCCGCGUCUGAUUAGCCAGUUGGCAGGGUAAGAGCCUACCAAAGCGACGAUCAGUAGCCGAUUUGAGAGGAUGAACGGCCACAUUGGGACUGAGACACGGCCCAAACUCCUACGGGAGGCAGCAGUGGGGGAUAUUGCACAAUGGGGGGAACCCUGAUGCAGCGACGCCGCGUGAGUGAAGAAGUAUUUCGGUAUGUAAAGCUCUAUCAGCAGGGAAGAUAAUGACAGUACCUGAAUAAGAAGCCCCGGCUAACUACGUG